UUUAGCUGCAUGCAAGCAGACAGAGGAAUCCAUCAGGCUGACACCACUUAAAGCCUUGGAGCAGCAGGUAUCCGGCUGGGUGUGGUACUGAAAUUGUGACCAUGCCGCUGCUUUCUUGUCCUUAAUUGAUUUUGUGACUAACCCUUAGAUUGCAGACGGUAUGUUAAGCCAGUCAUUUAGGGGAGGAGGGUAUAUAACAAUAAACUGGAUGACAUUAGUCCAAACGAAGGUAUCAGAACAGAUUAAUAUCAAUCAAAGGCAACAAGACGGGAUAUAUCGUCGAACGAAACAGCAGCUUGGGACUUGGGCUGGUUUAUUCGAAGGCGGACUGCCGCGCUGCCGAACAGGCGAAGCCGCUUAACUCGGGACAGUGUGACAGCAGGUGACAGUCGCUGUAUUGAGCGGGUGUUGUGAGCAGUCUGACAUCUCCAGGCUCUUCUGUCCGAUCGAAGAGAGCAGCCUUUUUAUGGCAGUGCCCGCAUUUAAUGCCCCCCUCCCCUUUACGGGAACAGUGUCCCCCCCGGUGUCACAAAGAGGAACCUCCACCCACGAAGAAUGAUGAGCGGCUCUCAGAGGAGCAGAGCCCCUAGAUAUGGCUCCCCCCAGAGCAGCAUCACUCCCAUCACUGUCUUGUUCCCAAUCCUACAUUUUAUGAAUAAAUUCAAAAACAAAUAAGCAAAAAGCAACGCGGACACGUAAGCAGCCAAUCAGGGAGGAGCAAGCGUUCACCUCAUCGUGACGUAUUCAUUAAAGUGGGAAAUGGAGAAGCGUCUCGCGAAAGUCGCCAUGUUUGUGGCAUGUGGAAAAGCUGGUGGAAACAAGCAUUCUUUAAAGAUAUAUCUAUGUUCAGCUGACUGUGUUAUGUGGCUGCUUAAGAUUUAACUUGUCUGUUUUAAUAAGCAUGCAUUUCACGGUAAAUUAUUUGAAAUAAUGCAACUGGGGAACUUAUGUCCCAUGACAGAAUUCAUGAACCUCUUUACCUAUCCAGACAAUUAACUUGUUCUAAUCGGCGUUUACAUCCAUGGGAAUUUAAACGCGGACUUGUGAGCAUGCACAGCUGUAUUCUAUCAUUAUAGUUUUGAGGGAAUUAAGUCAUGCCUCUGUCGAAUUGACUAAUAAACAAAUAAACUGACACAACCGAGGGAACGAAACACUGGAUCACUGCUGUGAAGUAUUUUUUAAAAUCUAUAUUAUGUGUUUCCCCAACCACCGCUCGUUCAGUUCUGGUUGCGCCUUAAACAGGAGCUGUACCAGAUUCGGCAUCCCUGAAGUGAAACUAGUCCCCUAUCGGGAGCGCGCACAUCCCUGUACUAAAAUGCGUCCAUCUAAACGCACUACAGAAAUAGGAAAUUAUCUUUGCACAUUUUAAAUAAGUAUAUCAAUCUGAUAAACUAUGAGGUUGCAUGUCAACGAUGAGCCUUGAACGAGAACAUUU